UUUCUUUUCUUUUUCUAUUUAAACUCAAUGAUUUCUUGAUGACAAUUUAAUUAAUUUUCUAAGUUGAACUUUGUCACAAUUUAUCUGAUCUUGUCUAUGGGAGAUGAUCGUUAAAUAUGUAAAUUAGUUUUAGUUGUUGUCUUGUCAACAUUUCCAUCCUUCUCUUUUACAUGAAAAUGUGAUCUCAAUGUGGUUUCAAGAUGGAAAAUCUUGAUUGUUAUGUUUUGGUCUUGAUGAUCGGCAAUAAGGUUUGAUGAAGGUUCCAAGACUCUUUCGGCCUUCAAAUGGUUCAAUGAAUCGUUGCGAUGGUUUCAAUCUCUAUCAGGCUCCAAUUACCAUUGAUGCUGAUUGAUCUAUGAUUCAACAUUUAUUCAAUUUCACUUUAAGAUCCAAUUCAAACUCCUACAAACGAUUAUCCUCUGAGUGUCUGCUGAUUCAUUGUUGAUAAUUUGAUUAAAUUACUCUUAUUGUUUUUGAAAAUACACUUUGUACCAUGUCUGUUUUAAUUGAUAUGCAAUGAGAAAUACACUUUGAUCAAUUGAAUCUCUAAAUUUAAUAAAAGUGAUUAUAUUGUCAAA